GGCUGGAAGCUUCUGUGGAGCUCUGUCCAGAGUAUAUGGGAGGCAAUACGGAAACCCACAGACCUCUCCACAGUGUAGACACACAGAUCCCAAGCACUCUGGACAGCCCCCUUCUUUCCACCUUCCCGAGUCUUCCUAGGCCUGUUUGUUGUAUUAUUUCCAGAGAUUUUUUAGUUAUAAUUGUGAGGUCCUGGAAGGACGGGGGCUACUCCAUCUUGGUGAAUUCAGAAGUCUCCUUCCUUCAAUUUUUGGAAAGCAAGAAACUGGAAACCACUUAAUUUGCCAGAAUUAUGUUAUCCAGCUAUUAGAUUCAGCUUCUCAAUUCUAGGAAAGUGCAUUUAAAAUUGUUUAACAAGCCUUCUUAAAUGAUUUUUAAUUUUGUAUGUUAUUCUUUCACUUAAAGCCAACAUCUUUAACUCAAUAAAAUAAUUUUUGAUAAUACAUUUUAAUCUUACUAUAUUUUUUGUAUAAAUCUUCAAAAGCUUGGGAAGAGCUUGGGAAGAUUUUGAAGAUUUAAGUUUAUGAAUUUUUGAUUGGCAUUCAUAAUUACAAUGAUCACUUUGAUACUCUGGAUAAUUUUAUGUCACAGGACAAUGCUUCAUAAGGUUUUAACUGUAUGUUCCACAGAAACUGAGCAAGAAAACAAACAAAAACAGUAAGAUUAUGUAUGAACCAAGCUUUACCCAGCAUUACUACUCUUUUCUCCUGGAAUGUAUUGAAUUACUUUUAUUGAGAUGAAAAAUCUGGGGCCAAAAGAAUUAUAUAUGUGAGAGACCAGAAUAUGCCACCUCAAGAUAUGAAGGACUGUUGAGUUGAAGACAAUUAAAAAGCAGCAGAUACAGGAAUGCUCUCUGACCUCCUCUAUUUGCCUAAAAGCAAAAUGUAGAUUUUCAAAGACAAAAGGGAUCCUGGCAUUCCCUCCUCCCUGCUACUUACAGGGAAAACAGAGAUUAACCACUAAAGACAACUUUAGACACAUAUCUUCUGGAGGUGGUACCAGAGGCACCUGCCUUAACAAGUUUCACCUAAUAGUCUUUACCUGCCAUUUAUUUGCCUUCCCACAAGUUGCAUCCUCUAGAGACUAAAAGUUCUUUUACUGUGUCUUCUCAAUUCUCUAAAAAUUUACUGUUCUUUCUUGAAUAUGCUAUAUAAACUGGAACUCAAAGCCA